rnacentral:rRNA from 1 species
AUACGUAGGUGGCAAGCGUUGUCCGGAUUUACUGGGUGUAAAGGGCGUGUAGGCGGAGAUGCAAGUCAGGAGUGAAAUCUAGGGGCUCAACCCCUAAACUGCUUUUGAAACUGUAUCCCUUGAGUAUCGGAGAGGCAGGCGGAAUUCCUAGUGUAGCGGUGAAAUGCGUAGAUAUUAGGAGGAACACCAGUGGCGAAGGCGGGUAACUGGACUGCAACUGACGCUGAGGCGCGAAAGUGUGGGGAGCAAACAGGAUUAGAUACCCUGGUAGUCCACACUGUAAACGAUGAAUGCUAGGUGUAAGAGGUAUCGACCCCUUUUGUGCCGGAGUUAACACAAUAAGCAUUCCGCCUGGGGAGUGCGGCCGCAAGGUUGAAACUCAAAUGAAUUGACGGGG